UCCCUGGUGGUCUAGUGGGUAGGGCUCUGCAUUCCCAAUGCAGUGGGCCCUGGUUCGAUCCCUGGUUGGGGAA